GGGGUUGUACAGGUUUCGACGGGAGUUUUGAAAUUGCAUAAGCCAUUCGUGGACCAGAACCACGUUAAAAGCUGGAAAUCUAAAUAUAAACGCAGAAGACAAUUUUGCAUUAGCUGCCUAAGGGCGGCUGGUCGGUCUUAGGGUUCCUGUCCCUUAAGGUUACCGGCUUCAUCCUGACAGGGAACUCGUUGACUUAAGCUUUGCGGUCUUCGAAGAAUUAUGAAGCUACCAAGAACUGUAUCCCGUUCGUAGGUUACAGAUCAAGGGAAUGAAUCUAUGCGGACUAUAAUGGAAGAAAGUGCAGUGAAUGAAUUUUCGGACGCGGGUUCGAUUCCCGCCAGCUCCAC
rnacentral:tmRNA from 1 species